AAGGAUCAUUACCAAGAGUCUCGGGGCUCCGGCCCCGAAACCCACAACCCUUUGUGUACAGACCAUUUAGUUGUUGCCUCGGUGGGUGCUUGAUGCCCGCCGGUGGUCAGCCCAAAUUCUGUUUGAACGUUGCAGUCGGAGCCUUUACGGCGAAAAGUAAAACCAAAAUCAAAACUUUCAACAACGGAUCUCUUGGUUCUG
rnacentral:misc_RNA from 1 species